UGGGGAAUAUUGGGCAAUGGGGGAAACCCUGACCCAGCAACGCCGCGUGAAGGAAGAAGGCUUUCGGGUUGUAAACUUCUUUUACCAGGGACGAAGAAAGUGACGGUACCUGGAGAAUAAGCCACGGCUAACUACGUGCCAGCAGCCGCGGUAAUACGUAGGUGGCGAGCGUUGUCCGGAUUUACUGGGUGUAAAGGGCGCGUAGGCGGGAGUACAAGUCAGAUGUGAAAUGCCAGGGCUUAACCCUGGAGCUGCAUUUGAAACUGUAUUUCUUGAGUGAUGGAGAGGCAAGUGGAAUUCCUAGUGUAGCGGUGAAAUGCGUAGAUAUUAGGAGGAACACCAGUGGCGAAGGCGGCUUGCUGGACAUUAACUGACGCUGAUGCGCGAAAGCGUGGGGAGCAAACAGG
rnacentral:rRNA from 2 species